rnacentral:rRNA from 1 species
GAUGAACGCUAGCGGCAGGCCUAAUACAUGCAAGUCGAACGGUGAACGAGGGAGCUUGCUCCCUCCGGAUCAGUGGCGAACGGGUGAGUAACACGUGAGCAAUCUGCCCUGGACUCUGGGAUAAGCGUUGGAAACGACGUCUAAUACCGGAUACGAGGCGUGGGGGCAUCCCCAACGCCUGGAAAGAACUUCGGUCCAGGAUGAGCUCGCGGCCUAUCAGGUAGUUGGUGAGGUAAUGGCUCACCAAGCCUACGACGGGUAGCCGGCCUGAGAGGGUGACCGGCCACACUGGGACUGAGACACGGCCCAGACUCCUACGGGAGGCAGCAGUGGGGAAUAUUGCACAAUGGGCGAAAGCCUGAUGCAGCAACGCCGCGUGAGGGACGACGGCCUUCGGGUUGUAAACCUCUUUUAGCAGGGAAGAAGCGAAAGUGACGGUACCUGCAGAAAAAGCACCGGCUAACUACGUGCCAGCAGCCGCGGUAAAAC